AGCGAACGCUGGCGGCAGGCUUAACACAUGCAAGUCGAGCGGGCACUUCGGUGUCAGCGGCAGACGGGUGAGGAACACGUGGGAACGUACCCUUUGGUUCGGAAUAACGCUGGGAAACUAGCGCUAAUACCGGAUACGCCCUUUUGGGGAAAGGCUUGCUGCCGAAGGAUCGGCCCGCGUCUGAUUCGCUAGUUGGUGGGGUAAUGGCCUACCAAGGCGACGAUCAGUAGCUGGUCUGAGAGGAUGAUCAGCCACACUGGGACUGAGACCCGGCCCAGACUCCUACGGGAGGCAGCAGAGUAGAAUAUUGGACAAUGGGCGCAAGCCUGAUCCAGCCAUGCCGCGUGAGUGAUGAAGGCCUUAGGGUUGUAAAGCUCUUUUGUCCGGGACGAUAAUGACGGUACCGGAAGAAUAAGCCCCGGCUAACUUCGUG
rnacentral:rRNA from 1 species